AACCUUAUGGACCUGCGGGCGUAUACCUGCGGAAGGAUCAUUACAAGUGACCCCGGUUUACCACCGGGAUGUUCAUAACCCUUUGUUGUCCGACUCUGUUGCCUCCGGGGCGACCCUGCCUUCGGGCGGGGGCUCCGGGUGGACACUUCAAACUCUUGCGUAACUUUGCAGUCUGAGUAAACUUAAUUAAUAAAUUAAAACUUUUAACAACGGAUCU
rnacentral:misc_RNA from 1 species